rnacentral:rRNA from 1 species
AGUGAACGCUGGCGGUAGGCCUAACACAUGCAAGUCGAACGGCAGCACAGAGGAGCUUGCUCCUUGGGUGGCGAGUGGCGGACGGGUGAGGAAUACAUCGGAAUCUACUCUGUCGUGGGGGAUAACGUAGGGAAACUUACGCUAAUACCGCAUACGACCUACGGGUGAAAGCAGGGGAUCUUCGGACCUUGCGCGAUUGAAUGAGCCGAUGUCGGAUUAGCUAGUUGGCGGGGUAAAGGCCCACCAAGGCGACGAUCCGUAGCUAGUCUGAGAGGAUGAUCAGCCACACUGGAACUGGGACACGAUCCAGACUCCUACGGGAGGCAGCAGUGGGGAAUAUUGGACAAUGGGCGCAAGCCUGAUCCAGCCAUACCGCGUGGGUGAAGAAGGCCUUCGGGUUGUAAAGCCCUUUUGUUGGGAAAGAAAUCCAUCUGGUUAAUACCCGGGUGGGAUGACGGUACCCAAAGAAUAAGCACCGGCUAACUUCGUGCCAGCCGCCGCAGUAA